rnacentral:rRNA from 1 species
GGAGGGUGCAAGCGUUAUCCGGAUUUACUGGGUUUAAAGGGAGCGUAGGUGGGUUGGUAAGUCAGUGGUGAAAUCUCCGAGCUUAACUUGGAAACUGCCGUUGAUACUAUCGAUCUUGAAUACUGUGGAGGUUAGCGGAAUAUGUCAUGUAGCGGUGAAAUGCAUAGAUAUGACAUAGAACACCAAUUGCGAAGGCAGCUGGCUACACAAGCAUUGACACUGAGGCUCGAAAGCGUGGGGAUCAAACAGGAUUAGAUACCCUGGUAGUCCACGCCCUAAACGAUGGAUACUCGACAUUUGUGAUACACAAUAAGUGUCUGAGCGAAAGCAUUAAGUAUCCCACCUGGGAAGUACGAUCGCAAGAUUGAA